rnacentral:rRNA from 1 species
AUGAACGCUAGCGGCAGGCUUAAUACAUGCAAGUCGAACGGUAACAGGUCUUCGGACGCUGACGAGUGGCGCACGGGUGAGGAACACGUACACAAUCUACCUUAUACUGGAGAAUAGCCCCGGGAAACUGGGAUUAAUACUCCAUAGUCUUUAAUGAUCACAUGAGAAAUAAAGUAAAGCUUCGGCGGUAUAAGAUGAGUGUGCGUCCCAUUAGAUUGUUGGUGAGGUAACGGCUCACCAAGUCGACGAUGGGUAGCUGGCGUGAGAGCGCGACCAGCCACACUGGCACUGAGACACGGGCCAGACUCCUACGGGAGGCAGCAGUAGGGAAUAUUGGUCAAUGGACGAAAGUCUGAACCAGCCCAUGCCGCGUGGAGGAUGACUGCCCUCUGGGUUGUAAACUCCUUUUAUAUGGGAGGAAACCUCUGGAUUCACUCCAGAGCUGACGGUAUCAUAUGAAUAAGCACCGGCUAACUCCGUG